AACGAACGCUGGCGGCAGGCUUAACACAUGCAAGUCGAACGGGCGUAGCAAUACGUCAGUGGCAGACGGGUGAGUAACACGUGGGAACCUUCCUAGGGGUACGGAACAACCCAGGGAAACUUGAGCUAAUACCGUAUACGUCCGUGAGGAGAAAGAUUUAUCGCCCUUAGACGGGCCCGCGUUGGAUUGGCUAGUUGGGGGGGUAAUGGCCCACCAAGGCGACGAUCCAUAGCUGGCCUGAGAGGAUGAUCAGCCACACUGGGACUGAGACACGGCCCAGACUCCUACGGGAGGCAGCAGUGGGGAAUAUUGGACAAUGGGCGCAAGCCUGAUCCAGCCAUGCCGCGUGAGUGAUGAAGGCCCUAGGGUUGUAAAGCUCUUUCGCCGGUGAAGAUAAUGACGGUAACCUGAGAAGAAGCCCCGGCUAACUUCGUGCCAGCCGCCGCUGUAAAAC
rnacentral:rRNA from 1 species